AGGCUGUGAAGCAUAUGUUGUGAGCUGCUGUUGAAAAUAGAUGAAGUGGGGAAGGACUUUACUUGCUGGGCAUUUCCAGGGAUGCUACUGGUUUUCAACCUAACCAAAUGAAAAACUAAGGAUUAUUUGCCUAAUUGAACAUGGAAAACUGUCUAAAUAAAGCAAAGAAGGAAGAUUAAAGAAGAAAUCAUUUGAGUUGAUUCCAUUUAACCCUGUUGAUGGCCAAGGCCUUUUUCAAGUUUGGGCAGAAGUAAAGUAAAGCCCCCUGUGAACUUGACAGUGUCCGAGCCACCGAGGCCCAGCCAAUCAGCGUCCUGUGUGGAGCUACUGGCAGCUACGGUAACUCCCACUGCCAUCUGUCAGCCGUUGCCAGAGUUUGACCAAGAAGUCUCAUUCUUCAGGGGGAAAUUGUUUGCAAGCUCUGCUCCAGAACCUGUCUAUCCUGAGCCUGUUCCAGCCUCGUCUAAAUCUUCCAACCUCUGCUCCCAGACCUCCAGUGCCUCCAUGGGCC